UCAUUCAUGGGCUUAUAUAUACCCCGCGUUUCCAUCUAGAUACAAAUAAUAAUUUUUCAAUAAAAGAAGAGCCAAUGCUCCCCAUAUUGCAUUUUUUUAUCUAUCCAAGAAGCAAGGCCAAUAACUAAAAAUAAUAUCUAAAGAGAAAUAAAAGCUUCAGAGCAAAUGCAAUGGGAUUUCCAUUAUAUUUUUUUAUUUCAAAGGGGCAUAACCGGUUAAAAAUAUUUGAUCAGGACUUAUUUUUGAUAGUGUCAAAGACAUUGCUGAUGAUUUAAGUUUCAUAAAAAUCUGGCAAGAAUUAUACACAUGCGAGUGCCAACAAGACCGAACAGACGGAGGGACGGACGCCCGAUAUUUCCAUGUCCCCUGUAACGCGUUAAGCGAAAGAUUAAUCACUAUGUUC
rnacentral:lncRNA from 1 species